UACGUAGGGGGCAAGCGUUGUCCGGAAUCAUUGGGCGUAAAGAGCGUGUAGGCGGCCCGAUAAGUCCGCCGUGAAAGUCCAGGGCUCAACCCUGGAAUGCCGGUGGAAACUGUCGGGCUAGAGUCCGGAAGAGGCGAGUGGAAUUCCUGGUGUAGCGGUGAAAUGCGCAGAUAUCAGGAGGAACACCGAUGGCGAAGGCAGCUCGCUGGGACGGUACUGACGCUGAGGCGCGAAAGCGUGGGGAGCAAACAGG
rnacentral:rRNA from 1 species